AGAAUGAACGCUGGCGGCGCGCCUAAUACAUGCAAGUCGAGCGAGAAGACGUAGCAAUACGUUUGUAAAGCGGCGAACGGGUGAGGAAUACAUGGGUAACCUACCCUUGAGUGGGGAAUAACUAGCCGAAAGGUUAGCUAAUACCGCGUACGCUUCUUGGACUUCGGUUCAGGGAGGAAAGCGAUGCCGAGGGUAUCGCGCUCUUGGAUGGGCUCAUGUCCUAUCAGCUUGUUGGAGAGGUAACGGCUCACCGAGGGCUUCGACCGGGUAGCUGGGUCUGAGAGGACGAUCAGCCACACUGGCACUGCGACACGGGCAGACUCGACGGAGCAGCAGUAAGAUAUGCGCAAUGGGACGAAAGCCGUAGACGCCGAGGCGACGGCCGGCGGUGGGGGGAUGGAAGGUCGUUACGGAGUUUACGGUAAACCCCGUUUUCGGGAA
rnacentral:rRNA from 1 species